GAUUCCCUCUGCUGGCUAUCUCGAAUAGCAAGCGAUUUUUGCAGCAACGCUGCUGCCGCUGGAACUGAACCUGAAGAACUCAAAUGCGGGCGGUGGAUUAUUUCUUAUCCCUCCUCCAUCUACCCCACACAAGAGCUGCUUUUUGUUCCUCUUUUUGCCAAGUUCCAAGGUAAGCCACACUGCUAAACAAAACACAGAAGAGAGGGAAGAGAGGACGAAAGAAGGAAGGAGGAGAAAGGAAAAGAAAUAAAGGCAGGGGAACUAACCUUGCUGGUUAAAGGGGAAAAAAGUAAGUCCCGGAUGCUUUCAAAAUCUGUUAACACGCUAGAGCCAGACGCAUCCAAGAGCUGAUUGAGAAACUAACCUUUUACUACCUGGAAAACUUGGUGGAUGUUAAGUAUUGAAGAAAUUUUAGGGUCUACUCCAGGACUACUAUUAAUGCCACAUGUCAUCAGAUUGGACUGAUCAACUGAACAUAUCAAAAAUAAUAACUUUUUUAAAAUACAUCCAUUUUGUAAAAAAAAAAAAAAAAAAAAUCAAAGGAAGUGACCCCUUAGGUUCGUCAGAUAUUUUACAGAUAAAAUCUGUUUCUCCCAUUGUCUCUCUCUUUAUGAUUAUUUUGUUGCAUUGAUGCUUUAAUCACUUUACUGAUAUCAUCUAAAAAAAAAAGAACAAAAAUCAUAAUUGCUUGGCAGAGUUUUUUCCCACCAAUGAUAAUAUUCUGUCAUGUCUAUCAGCUGCUACAUUAUAAUACAAAUUGUUUCAGAUAAAAUAUAUUUCCUUAAAGGGUCCCUUUUCAAGGCGGGCGAGGCUAAAAUUAGAUGUGCCAGCUGUGUUUUGCUGCGAGUGCUCACGCAUGCCCAAAGCGUGGGCAGACCAAUACUGAGCUCUUUUCUACUUUGUCAAGUCGGCUCUGUUCUCCUGAGCCCAGAGUCUCCUAUUUAGAUAAAAGGUCCCUGGUACAAAUCCAGCUUCCUAGUCAAGAAGAACAGAGAAUUUGGGCUCAGUGCACACAUGGUGUCCAUCCACAUACAAGCCGCACCACCCCUAAAGCAACUGGCUUCCACCGAGGGGAACUGGUUUCUGGAAGCUGUGUGAGUGCAUACGUGUUCCUUGGAUAAAAAUAAGGAUGGCAGGUAAAUAGUUUUAUGUUUUACUUUUGACAAGAAUAACAAUCAGAAGGAAGGAAGGAUGGAGGGUGAGAGGGUAAGAGUUAGGAGGCCCUGACAACAUGGUGAUUGAGAAUAUUAAAUCAACCCCACCUAUCUCUUAAAUGUAUUAUUUGGGGCCUCAGUUGUCCCAUCUAUAAAAUAGAAAUACUGCCAACUCUCCUGGCUGAAGGCAGUACACUGAAUCAGACACUAAAAAUGACACUGAUUUAAAAAUCCUCCAGUGGUGUCACGUUUCUCAAACAAUAAAGUCCUGACUCUUUGGAAUAGGUUUCAGGACACUUGACGAGCUGUCUGGCCCUGGCUUUCUACUCUAGUCUCGGACUUUCAACUCUGCCCCUCACAUCCUAUACCGGAGUCACUCUGAGCUACUUUCAGGACAGGAACAUGCUCUCAGAGGCUUCUGUCAUUCCCUCUUCCUGGAGUGCUCUCCCAAGUCCAUCUCCACCUCUUUUACCCUUCAGCCUGUCCUUCAGGUCUCAGUAUGGAUAUCACCUCCUCACAGUAGCUUUCUCUAAACCCUUCCUUCUCUGCUGCACUUUAUAUUUGCCCUCAUAGAAGGCUUAUUCUACAUGUAUUUGCCUGCUUAUUGUUUGUUUCUUCCAUGAUGUUCUAAACUCUAGGGGGGCAGGAGGUCACAUUGUUCUCACUUGCCUUUAUAUUUCCAAAAACUUGCAUAGAGUUGAGCACAAAAUGGGUGUUCAGUAAAUGUCUGAAGAAUAAAAUGUUAGACAUAAUUAAUAAUUUUUCAACCUGACUUACAUCCCUCUUUCAGUACAUUUCAGUCCCUGUUACAGGUCAAGAAUUGACCUGGGUGCAGGAUAUAGAGGCACAUGAAUCAGAACAAGGUCCUUCUUUCAUCGAGUUUAUAUUUAGUGGGGAAGGGGGGACAAACAAAGGGAUAAAGAAGUAAAUAUGCAGUAUAAUGUCAGGAAAUACAAAGCGCUGUAAGGAAAUAUGAAACAGAGUAAAGAGAAACAAAGUCACAGAGAUUCUACUUUAAACAAGAUAGGAAAAUGCUCUCCAAGGAAGAGCCUUGGAAAAUGCUUUCCUAAGGUCAAAGCAAGGGUGUGAACCAUUCUCUGGGUAUUGUGCACUGUGAGAAUACUUCGUGUUAAUGCCUUGGAUCCCAUCCAGACUGCCUGGGUUCCAAUCCUGCCCCUUCUUCAUUCAUCUCCCUCAGUUUCUUCAUCCAUCAAAUAUCACUAUUCACUUCAUACAGUUAUUUAGAAAACCAACCCAGAUAAACACAUGAAGCUUUUAAAACACCUUGUACCAUGUUGGAUCUGCUUAACAAAUGCCAGCCUGCACAUGGGGGAAAAACAUCCCAGUCACAGGGAACAGUAAGUACAGAACGGCCUGCAGUGGGACUGUGUCUUUGGAAUGUGCAAGAUCCGGCACAGAGGCUGAAAUGAAGCAAGUGAGGAAAGACCAUAAAAUGGGGUUAGGGAGGUACCCUUGGGCCAGAUCAUAUAAACCUUAGUAAAGAACUGAUAUGGAAAGCUAAUUAAUUGAUAGUUAACAGUACAGCAAGGACUUUAUCCAAAUAUUCAGAUUCUACAUCUAGUCAUCUUCAACUAUAGAAUGCUGUCAUUUAAACAACCUAUUAAUGCUCCUCCAAGUUCUAUCUUGUAAGAACAAAAUCCAAGAUUGCUUUGGCUAAUUCUGCCACCAUGGACAAAGGAUAUAAAUACUCUUUCAUUAAUACAUGGUCUAGAUACUCCUUAAAGGGAAAAGAAUACUGUCUUAUUUACAAAUGAAAGGCCAAAUGACUCCUCAGCCAAAACUGAUAUAACCCAUUAUCUGUAAAGUUCCCAGCAUGUGUUGAUGCUAUCAGCAAUUUCUACAUAAAAUUGUUACUUUUUAAAAUGCUAUUUGAUUUCGUUGGAUUAUUGUAAUGUUUUAGGCAUAAAUUGUCAUUAGCUUAAAAACCCUCAUUGCACCUUCAAAGCUUUUCUUAAGUAAUGCAAAGUAGGUUUACCACCUGUGGGAAUUGUAAAACCUGUGUUUUUGUUUUUUAUUUUCUUCCCUCAGAGACACCAGUAGCCAUGGCAAUUCAGGAGGCAAGAUACUCACAUCAGAAAUAGUUUUUAUAUCAUUUCUGCUCUGUUGGAGCAGUAGCGCUUUCCAUUUAAAUGAUCAAGUUAAGGUAGGAGGUAACUGGUUUAAGGCACUCUCUAAAUCAGAAGACAGCUGUGUCCUAUUUGCCAACUAACCAACAAAUUUCAUACAAAUCCAAGAACAGCAAACUGCAUCAAAGGGCAUAGACUCUCACUGGGUCACGUGAUUCACAGGCUAGACAGAAGAGGCACUGACUGAUUGAUUGAUCGAUUGAGUUUUAUUUUUUAUUUUUUUGAGAUGGAGUCUUGCUCUGUUGCCAAGGCUGAAGGGCAGUGGUGUGACGUCAGCUCACUGCAACCUCCGUCUCCCGGGUUCAAGUAUUUCUCCUGCCUCAGCCUCCCAAGUAGCUGGUAUUACAGGCACCCACUACCAUGCCAGGCUAAUUUUUAUAUUUUUAGUAGAGAUGGAGUUUUCCCAUGUUGGCCAGGUUGUUCUCGAACUCCUAACCUCAGGUGAUCCACCUGUCUCGGCCUCCCAGAGUGCUGAGAUUACAGGCUUGAGCCACCAUGCCCAGAUGAGGCACUGAUGUAGGACAAGUUUUUGACUAAGGGGCCUGAGAUGAUGCCUCAGACCUGCCACUGGGAAAUGGGGAAGCAAUAGCACCGAAAUGCUGAAAUGAAGGUCACCGGGGUAGAGAUGAGAAUGCUCUUCUAGUUUGCUCUUGACUUAUCCACUCAGAGAAUAACUGAGUCCUUUCUUUGGAUGAUUUGUGUUUUAAAUUAUAAAGAUUUAUUCAAGGCUGGGUGCAAUGGCUCACACCUGUAAUCCUAGCACUUUGGGAGGCCAAGGCGAGUGGAUCACCUGAGGUUGGAAGUUUGAGACCAGCCUGACCAACAUGGUGAAACCCCGUCUCUACUAAAAAUACAAAAAUUAGCCUGGUGUGGUGGUGCAUGCCUGUAAUUCCAGCUACUCGGGAGGCUGAGGCAGGAGAAUCACUUGAACCCGGGAGGCGGAGGUUGUAGAGAGCCAAGAUUGCACCAUUGCACUCCAGCUUGGGUGACAGGAGGGAAACUCCAUCUAAAAAAAAAGAUUCAGUGGAAAGCAAGAGAAAAGAACAGAAGUCGAAAGACAAACCGUAAUUCUACUACCCUAAAAACUACAUACAUAUACCCUUCUAUCUUUAAGAAGGACAUGCAUGACCUUGAAAGAAUUUUUGUAAAUCUUUGCAUUUUAUGCCCACUUUAUUUAAAUGUAUUAAAUCCCUCUCCAACACAGCACUUGUCAAAGGAAUGUU
rnacentral:lncRNA from 10 species